rnacentral:rRNA from 1 species
GAUGAACGCUGGCGGCGUGCCUAAUACAUGCAAGUCGAGCGAACAGACGAGGAGCUUGCUCCUCUGACGUUAGCGGCGGACGGGUGAGUAACACGUGGAUAACCUACCUAUAAGACUGGGAUAACUUCGGGAAACCGGAGCUAAUACCGGAUAAUAUAUUGAACCGCAUGGUUCAAUAGUGAAAGACGGUUUUGCUGUCACUUAUAGAUGGAUCCGCGCCGCAUUAGCUAGUUGGUAAGGUAACGGCUUACCAAGGCGACGAUGCGUAGCCGACCUGAGAGGAUGAUCGGCCACACUGGAACUGAGACACGGUCCAGACUCCUACGGGAGGCAGCAGUAGGGAAUCUUCCGCAAUGGGCGAAAGCCUGACGGAGCAACGCCGCGUGAGUGAUGAAGGUCUUCGGAUCGUAAAACUCUGUUAUUAGGGAAGAAAAAAUGUGUAAGUAACUAUGCACGUCUUGACGGUACCUAAUCAGAAAGCCACGGCUAACUACGUG